rnacentral:rRNA from 1 species
AUUGAACGCUGGCGGCAGGCCUAACACAUGCAAGUCGAGCGGUAGCACAGAGAGCUUGCUCUCGGGUGACGAGCGGCGGACGGGUGAGUAAUGUCUGGGAAACUGCCUGAUGGAGGGGGAUAACUACUGGAAACGGUAGCUAAUACCGCAUAACGUCGCAAGACCAAAGAGGGGGACCUUCGGGCCUCUUGCCAUCAGAUGUGCCCAGAUGGGAUUAGCUAGUAGGUGGGGUAAUGGCUCACCUAGGCGACGAUCCCUAGCUGGUCUGAGAGGAUGACCAGCCACACUGGAACUGAGACACGGUCCAGACUCCUACGGGAGGCAGCAGUGGGGAAUAUUGCACAAUGGGCGCAAGCCUGAUGCAGCCAUGCCGCGUGUGUGAAGAAGGCCUUCGGGUUGUAAAGCACUUUCAGCGAGGAGGCAGGGAGUAAAGUUAAUACCUUUGCUCAUUGACGUUACCCGCAGAAGAAGCACCGGCUAACUCCGUGCCAGCCGCCGCCGUAA